CCGGCGACGGGUGAGUAACACGUAUGCUACCCACCUAGUAACGAGGGGAUAACCCGGAGAAAUCCGGACUAAUACCCCAUAAUAUGGGCGCUCCGCAUGGAGAGCCCAUUAAAGAGAGCAAUUUUGGUUACAGACGAGCAUGCGCUCCAUUAGCCAGUUGGCGGGGUAACGGCCCACCAAAGCGACGAUGGAUAGGGGUUCUGAGAGGAAGGUCCCCCACAUUGGAACUGAGACACGGUCCAA
rnacentral:rRNA from 1 species